rnacentral:rRNA from 1 species
AACGAACGCUGGCGGCAUGCCUAACACAUGCAAGUCGAACGAGACCUUCGGGUCUAGUGGCGCACGGGUGCGUAACGCGUGGGAACCUGCCCUUAGGUUCGGAAUAACUCCCCGAAAGGGGUGCUAAUACCGGAUAAUGUCUUCGGACCAAAGAUUUAUCGCCUUUGGAUGGGCCCGCGUUGGAUUAGCUAGUUGGUAGGGUAAAAGCCUACCAAGGCGACGAUCCAUAGCUGGUCUGAGAGGAUGAUCAGCCACACUGGGACUGUGACACGGCCCAGACUCCUACGGGAGGCAGCAGUGGGGAAUAUUGGACAAUGGGCGAAAGACUGAUCCAGCAAUGCCGCGUGAGUGAUGAAGGCCUUAGGGUUGUAAAGCUCUUUUACCCGGGAUGAUAAUGACAGUACCGGGAGAAUAAGCGCCGGCUAACUCCGUG